rnacentral:rRNA from 1 species
CAGUCGCCGCGGGAAUACGGAGGGUCCGAGCGUUAAUCGGAAUUACUGGGCGUAAAGCGUGCGCAGGCGGUUUGUUAAGCGAGAUGUGAAAGCCCUGGGCUCAACCUAGGAAUAGCAUUUCGAACUGGCGAACUAGAGUCUUGUAGAGGGGGGUAGAAUUCCAGGUGUAGCGGUGAAAUGCGUAGAGAUCUGGAGGAAUACCGGUGGCGAAGGCGGCCCCCUGGACAAAGACUGACGCUCAUGCACGAAAGCGUGGGGAGCAAACAGGAUUAGAUACCCCUGUAGUCCCUGUCUCUUAUAC